rnacentral:lncRNA from 1 species
AGGUUCGGACCUAUGAGGUCACACACAUUAGAGUUCAUUAUCCGAUCGGAUGGUUGAUCAAUGAUUAAGAAUCGUUCUAGGGUUAAAUGAUCAAUACGAUUGACAUUUAACCCAGCGCAAGUGUUGCAGGAGGAUCGAUUAGCAAUUCGAUUGCUAAUUGGCUUAAUUUGAUUAAGUCAAUGGGCUGAGAUUAAGUCUAAUU